rnacentral:rRNA from 1 species
UGGGGAAUAUUGGACAAUGGAGGAAACUCUGAUCCAGCAAUUCUGUGUGUGUGAAGAAGGUUUUAGGACUGUAAAACACUUUUAGUAGGGAAGAAAAAAAUGACGGUACCUACAGAAGAAGCAACGGCUAAAUACGUGCCAGCAGCCGCGGUAAUACGUAUGUUGCGAGCGUUAUCCGGAAUUAUUGGGCUUAAAGGGCAUCUAGGCGGUAAGACAAGUUGAAGGUGAAAACCUGUGGCUCAACCAUAGGCUUGCCUACAAAACUGUUGAAUUAAAGUACUGGAAAGGUGGGUGGAACUACACGAGUAGAGGUGAAAUUCGUAGAUAUGUGUAGGAAUGCCGAUGAUGAAGAUAACUCACUGGACAGAAACGGACGCUGAAGUGCGAAAGCGAGGGGAGCAAACAGG